rnacentral:tRNA from 1 species
GGAGGGUUGGCGCAAUUGGCAGCGCGUUCGUCUCCAAAGCGAAAGGUUGGGAGUUCAAGUCUCUCACUCUCCA